rnacentral:rRNA from 1 species
UACGUAGGGUGCAAGCGUUGUCCGGAAUUAUUGGGCGUAAAGAGCUCGUAGGCGGUCUGUCGCGUCUGCUGUGAAAACCUGGGGCUUAACCCCGGGCCUGCAGUGGGUACGGGCAGACUAGAGUGUGGUAGGGGAGACUGGAAUUCCUGGUGUAGCGGUGAAAUGCGCAGAUAUCAGGAGGAACACCGGUGGCGAAGGCGGGUCUCUGGGCCAUAACUGACGCUGAGGAGCGAAAGCAUGGGGAGCGAACAGG